rnacentral:lncRNA from 1 species
AGGGGCUCAUAUCAAGUGUAAAUUUUGAUAGAUCUAUCACAGUGGGAAAAAACACCAAUCCAAUUUGGAGGGACUGUAAGAGAAAGAGAAAGAGGAAAAGAAGAAGACAGAAACUGAGAUACCAAACCAAGACCCUUUUGUUGAAAAAGGGUACAGAGGCGGCACUUCAACUUCUGACCUUAGUAUUUUUUUUUUUUUUUUUUGGGAAUAUUGAUAGAAAUUAGGGUCGAUAAAAAGGGUAUUUCCCACUAAAGGCCUCUCUCAUUGUAAUCAUCGC